AUUGAACGCUGGCGGCAUGCCUUACACAUGCAAGUCGAACGGUAACAGGUCUUCGGAUGCUGACGAGUGGCGAACGGGUGAGUAAUACAUCGGAACGUGCCCGAUCGUGGGGGAUAACGAAGCGAAAGCUUUGCUAAUACCGCAUAAGAUCUAAGGAUGAAAGCAGGGGACCGCAAGGCCUUGCGCGAACGGAGCGGCCGAUGGCAGAUUAGGUAGUUGGUGGGAUAAAAGCUUACCAAGCCGACGAUCUGUAGCUGGUCUGAGAGGACGACCAGCCACACUGGGACUGAGACACGGCCCAGACUCCUACGGGAGGCAGCAGUGGGGAAUUUUGGACAAUGGGCGAAAGCCUGAUCCAGCCAUGCCGCGUGCAGGAUGAAGGCCUUCGGGUUGUAAACUGCUUUUGUACGGAACGAAAAGACUCUUUCUAAUAAAGAGGGUCCAUGACGGUACCGUAAGAAUAAGCACCGGCUAACUACGUGCCAGCAGCCGCCGCCGUAA
rnacentral:rRNA from 1 species